AUUGAACGCUGGCGGAAUGCUUUACACAUGCAAGUCGAACGGCAGCACGGGGCAACCUGGUGGCGAGUGGCGAACGGGUGAGUAAUACAUCGGAACGUGCCCAAUCGUGGGGGAUAACGUAGCGAAAGUUACGCUAAUACCGCAUACGAUCUAUGGAUGAAAGCGGGGGAUCGCAAGACCUCGCGCGAUUGGAGCGGCCGAUAUCAGAUUAGGUAGUUGGUGGGGUAAAGGCCCACCAAGCCAACGAUCUGUAGCUGGUCUGAGAGGACGACCAGCCACACUGGAACUGAGACACGGUCCAGACUCCUACGGGAGGCAGCAGUGGGGAAUUUUGGACAAUGGGCGCAAGCCUGAUCCAGCAAUGCCGCGUGCAGGGAUGAAGGCCUUCGGGUUGUAAACCUCUGUCAUGGGGAAGAAGUAAGUGACGGUACCCCAAGAGGAAGCCCCUGCUAACUACGUG
rnacentral:rRNA from 1 species